AUACUUACCUUUAAGGGUAGAUACCCAUGAUCAAGAAGGUGGUUCACCUAGGAUGAGCCUCAGCCACUGCACUCUAGUUGUACUGACACCUGCGAAUUCCCCAAAUGUGAGAAUCUCAACUGGCUGCCCACUGCUCCGGGCAAGUGUGCUCACUGCCCCCUA
ensembl:snRNA U1 U1 spliceosomal RNA